rnacentral:rRNA from 1 species
UACGGAGGGUGCGAGCGUUGUCCGGAAUCACUGGGCGUAAAGGGCGCGUAGGCGGCCCGCUAAGUCGAACGUGAAAUCCCCGAGCUCAACUCGGGAACUGCGUCCGAUACUGGCGGGCUUGAAUCCGGGAGAGGGAUGCGGAAUUCCAGGUGUAGCGGUGAAAUGCGUAGAUAUCUGGAGGAACACCGGUGGCGAAGGCGGCAUCCUGGACCGGCAUUGACGCUGAGGCGCGACAGCGUGGGGAUCAAACAGG